CAGCCGCCGCUGUAAUACGUAGGGUGCAAGCGUUAAUCGGAAUUACUGGGCGUAAAGCGUGCGCAGGCGGUUAUAUAAGACAGAUGUGAAAUCCCCGGGCUCAACCUGGGAACUGCAUUUGUGACUGUAUAGCUAGAGUACGGCAGAGUGGGAUGGAAUUCCGCGUGUAGCAGUGAAAUGCGUAGAUAUGCGGAGGAACACCGAUGGCGAAGGCAAUCCCCUGGGCCUGUACUGACGCUCAUGCACGAAAGCGUGGGGAGCAAACAGGAUUAGAUACCCGGGUAGUCCCUGUCUCUUAUAC
rnacentral:rRNA from 1 species